GCAACAGCUCAAAUUUGAAAUCUGGCGCAAGCCCGAGUUGUAAUUUGUAGAGGAUGUUUCGGGUGAAGCCACGGUCCAAGUCCCUUGGAACAGGACGUCAUAGAGGGUGAGAACCCCGUACCUGGCCGUCGGUGCCCCCCGCUGUGAAACUCCUUCGACGAGUCGAGUUGUUUGGGAAUGCAGCUCUAAAUUGGUGGUGAAUUCCAUCUAAAGCUAAAUACCGGCCAGAGACCGAUAGCGCACAAGUAGAGUGAUCGAAAGAUGAAAAGCACUUUGAAAAGAGAGUUAAAAAGUACGUGAAAUUGUUGAAAGGGAAGCGCUUGCGGCCAGACUUGCCCGCGGUUGCUCAGCCCGCCUUUUGGCGGGUGCACUCUUCCGCGGUCAGGCCAGCAUCGGUUUGGGCGGCCGGAUAAAGGCGUAGGGAACGUGGCCUCCCCUCGGGGAGGUGUUAUAGCCCUGCGCGCAAUGCGACCAGCCCGGACCGAGGUUCGCGCUUUGCUAGGAUGCUGGCGUAAUGGCCGUAAGCGGCCCGUCUUGAAACACGGACCAAGGAGUCUAACAUCUAUGCGAGUGUUUGGGUGUCAAACCCGUGCGCGUAAUGAAAGUGAACGGAGGUGGGAACCCGCAAGGUGCACCAUCGACCGAUCCUGAUGUCUUCGGAAGGAUUUGAGUAAGAGCAUAGCUGUUGGGACCCGAAAGAUGGUGAACUAUGCGUGAAUAGGGUGAAGCCAGAGGAAACUCUGGUGGAGGCUCGCAGCGGUUCUGACGUGCAAAUCGAUCGUCAA
rnacentral:rRNA from 1 species